UACGUAGGGGGCAAGCGUUGUCCGGAUUUAUUGGGCGUAAAGCGCUCGCAGGUGGUUCAUUGCGUCGUGCGUGAAAGACCCCGGCUCAACUGGGGAGGGUCGUGCGAAACGGGUGAACUAGAGGCCAGUAGGGGGAUGCGGAAUUCCGGGUGUAGUGGUGGAAUGCGUAGAGAUCCGGAGGAACACCAGCGGCGAAAGCGGCAUCCUGGACUGGUCCUGACACUCAGGAGCGAAAGCGUGGGGAGCGAUCCGG
rnacentral:rRNA from 1 species